rnacentral:rRNA from 1 species
GAGCUUACCAUGCAAGUCGAACGGUAACAGGCCUUCGGGCGCUGACGAGUGGCGGACGGGUGAGUAACGCGUAGGAAUCUGCCUCAUAGUGGGGGACAACGUGGGGAAACUCACGCUAAUACCGCAUACGCCCUACGGGGGAAAGCGGGGGAUCUUCGGACCUCGCGCUAUGAGAUGAGCCUGCGUUAGAUUAGCUAGUUGGUAGGGUAAAGGCCUACCAAGGCGACGAUCUAUAGCUGGUCUGAGAGGACGAUCAGCCACACUGGGACUGAGACACGGCCCAGACUCCUACGGGAGGCAGCAGUGGGGAAUAUUGGACAAUGGGCGCAAGCCUGAUCCAGCAAUACCGCGUGUGUGAAGAAGGCCCUAGGGUUGUAAAGCACUUUCAAUGGGGAGGAAAACCUGCCGGUCAAUACCCGGCAGCUUGACAUUACCUAUAGAAGAAGCACCGGCUAACUCCGUGCCAGCAGCCGCGGUAAUACGGAGGGUGCAAGCGUUAAUCGGAAUUACUGGGCGUAAAGCGUGCGUAGGCGGUUCGUUAAGUCAGAUGUGAAAGCCCCGGGCUUAACCUGGGAACUGCAUUUGAAACUGGCGGACUUGAGUUGAGUAGAGGGGAGUGGAAUUUCAGGUGUAGCGGUGAAAUGCGUAGAUAUCUGAAGGAACACCAGUGGCGAAGGCGACUCCCUGGACCCAAACUGACGCUGAGGUACGAAAGCGUGGGUAGCAAACAGGAUUAGAUACCCUGGUAGUCCACGCUGUAAACGAUGUCAACUAGCCGUUGGUUCUAUAUACAGAAUUAGUGGCGCAGCUA